UACAGAGGUCCCAAGCGUUGUUCGGAUUCACUGGGCGUAAAGGGUGCGUAGGUGGUGAGGUAAGUCGGAUGUGAAAUCUCCGGGCUCAACCCGGAAAUGGCAUUGGAAACUACCUUGCUGGAGGAUUUGAGGGGGGAUUGGAAUACUUGGUGUAGCAGUGAAAUGCGUAGAUAUCAGGAGGAACACCGAUGGCGAAGGCAGCAAACUGGUCGUCAACUGACGCUGAGGCGCGAAAGCGUGGGUAGCAAACAGG
rnacentral:rRNA from 1 species